rnacentral:rRNA from 1 species
AGAGUUUGAUCAUGGCUCAGAACGAACGCUGGCGGCAGGCCUAACACAUGCAAGUCGAACGCACCUUUCGGGGUGAGUGGCAGACGGGUGAGUAACGCGUGGGAACGUGCCCUUCAGUUCGGAAUAACCCAGGGAAACUUGGGCUAAUACCGGAUAAGCCCUUACGGGGAAAGAUUUAUCGCCGAAGGAUCGGCCCGCGUCUGAUUAGCUAGUUGGUGGGGUAAUGGCCCACCAAGGCGACGAUCAGUAGCUGGUCUGAGAGGAUGAUCAGCCUCACUGGGACUGAGACACGGCCCAGACUCCUACGGGAGGCAGCAGUGGGGAAUAUUGGACAAUGGGCGAAAGCCUGAUCCAGCAACGCCGCGUGAGGGAUGACGGCCUUCGGGUUGUAAACCUCUUUCAGUACCGACGAAGCGCCAAUAACGGUGGUGACGGUAGGUACAGAAGAAGGACCGGCCAACUACGUGCCAGCAGCGGCGGUAAUAC